CACCAACGUAAGCAUCCUUUUGGCCCAUGCCUACCAUGACACCAGUAUAUGGCGUGGUCUUCCCACAAUGCUAGGGAAGGGAAGACAGCUCUUGAUGCAUCAUCACCGGCGAAACCUGCCUGUAAAUAUUAUAAGGAGGCAUUGGAGGAACGCAAUGACCAUCUACAGAAAUGGAGACAAUCUCAGAGCUAGAGUAAGUCGAUGCAAAGAUCAAAUACCAAAGAGAAGAAACAUGGGACAUUAUAUCCAAAUUAUAUCAAGCACAAACAUGGGGCACUAUAAACCUGCAAGGAUCAGAGAGAUGCCACCAGCAUUUUCAGAAUGACAACACUCUGCGCAUAAAAACUAAAAAUUUAGUAAGUAGAUCAAGUCCACAUAUUCAGGGAGCCUAUUUUGCAGCUUGCUAGGUUAGUGAAGGCUAAAUAUCUAAGAUCACUAUGCUCAUACUUACAUUCCGUUAUUGUGUAUUUAUUGUACUGCAUCAACCAUCGUUGUAAUGUGUUACUAAUCAUAUUGACGUGUUAUUAUCUCUGAUCAAAGUUUGCAGUUUGACAACUCAAA